rnacentral:lncRNA from 1 species
AUUAUCGAGGGUAUCAAGAAAACAAUUAACAAAUGCUUAGUAUGUCAACAAGCUUUUAUUAGUAAAUCUUUG